rnacentral:rRNA from 1 species
CUGAGCGGCGGACGGGUGAGUAACGCGUGGGUAACCUGCCUCAUACAGGGGGAUAACAGUUAGAAAUGGCUGCUAAUACCGCAUAAGACCACGGUACCGCAUGGUACAGUGGUAAAAACUCCGGUGGUAUGAGAUGGACCCGCGUCUGAUUAGGUAGUUGGUGGGGUAACGGCCUACCAAGCCGACGAUCAGUAGCCGACCUGAGAGGGUGACCGGCCACAUUGGGACUGAGACACGGCCCAG